GUGAAACAUGUUUAUACAUGCACAAGAGUGAGCUCCACAGUCUACUAAGAAGACCUGUAUUUCUGAUCUGCAGUGCGCCACCUUUUAGCAUGCUUUUCAGUGGCCAGAAUUAGAUGUCAAGGGAAGAUUAUACAGUAUAUGCAAGGCAAGUGUCUGAAAUCUUUCCAUAGAGUAUUCUUUCAGUCUUUAAGUAUUCUGGCUCAGGACUUUUAAGACCACUGUGGUUUUUCUAUUUCCUAAC
rnacentral:lncRNA from 1 species